UGCUCUGUUUGUGCGACUUCUCCAUUUCCCACUCCUUCCCUCGACUCAAACCGGGGAAUGCGCGUUGUCGUACGAAGCAAUGGAUAAACAAGACUACUACACCAUCUUGGGCAUAUCACGUACUGCAAACAAGGAUGCGAUCCGCCAAGCGUACAAGCUGAAGGCGUUGCAGCUGCACCCGGACAAGAACCCGAACGGCGAGGCAAUUUUCAAAUUAGUUGUGAACGCGUACCAAACACUCAAUGACCCCACAAAGCGCUCGGCUUACGACCGGGAGCUGACGCGGCGGGACCGUGGCUUUGGCGCUCACCAGUUCCGACAGGCGGCGCCACAGCCAUCGUCUCCCGCUGCCUACCCCUCGUCGUCCUACGGUGCCGACGCCGGCGCCUCGCGGAAGCCGCGCUACGCCACCGACGAGCAGCUAUUUAAGGACGCCUACGAGCAGUACAAAAAGAGCCCCUUCUCCGCUACCCCAGAUGGUGGGUUCCGCGGCGUCAACUCCGAAGGCACCUUCGCCGAAUGGUUCAAAAAGAAACAAGAAGAGCUGCGGCGGGCGGAGGAGGUGACCAAGGCGAAGGCUGAGUAUGCCAAGAACCUCGAGCGCGAAGAGAAGCGCAGGGCUGAGGAGUGGCGCGACAUGCAGCGCCGGCGAGAGGAGGAGCGCGAGGAGGAGGUGAGGCAGGCCAAGGAUCAGCGCGAGCGCGAGCGCGAAAUGCUGAGACGCAAGCGGGAGGCUGAGGCGAAAGAGCAGAAGGCAGCCGAGAAGAAAGCCCAGAUGGAGGCCUACGCGGAGGUGCAGCGUGAGCAGCAGGCGGACGUUGAGCGCCAUCUGCGUGACUUGGCGUCACAGAAGCGCGAGUUGGCCGAGGAGCGUCGCCGCCUCGCGGAGGAAAGGGCUGAGGUGACUAACCUCGCCGCCGAGCACCGCUUUACGCGCGACAUGGCGCACAAGCAGCGCGGCCAGGAACUGGCUGACGCGGUGCGCCGCGCAGACGCGAAAGUGCGCGAGGCACAGGAGCAACAAAUGCUCCACGAGGCCAACGAGCGUGCCAAGGCUGAAGAGCGGGCGCGCGAGGAGAAGCUCAAGCGCGCCGAGGAGGAGCGAGCGUUAGAGGCUGAGAGGGCGCGCGAGCGCCAACGGCAAAAGGAGGCAGAGGCUGCGGAGCAGGAGCGUAACCGCACGACAGCCGAGUUGGGAGAGCAGCGGAAGCGCGUAAUUGCGCAAAUGAUGUCGGAGAGGCGAAGACACGAGGAGGAGGUGUCCGCGAUGCGGAGGGAGACGGAUCGCAUCGAGGCGGAGAUGAAGGCCAAGCUGGAGGCGCUGCGCGCUGCGAAGAACUCUGGCCAGACCAUUAACUUGGAUGAAUGGAAGUUGUAGCUUUUUCCUUCACUCGCUCUACCGCCGCAUCCCUCUCGCUGUCUCCUGCACUCUCUUGCUUUCUUUCGCCUUCCUUCGUCUCCGUGUGUGUUUCGGUUGACCAUACAUCUGGCCGUUAGGUGGCUCUCCUGCGUUGUUGCUUUGUGUAUUUUUUUCUUUUUUUCUCCCUCAGCUCCGUCCUCGUUGGUGUUUUUCCUCGUGUGUUUUUUUCACCCUCUCCCUCCCACCUCUUCCUCGCCUCGCGGACGAAACUGCUGAAGGGAAAAAAGGCGCAGCUGAUGUAAUUUACAAUACGUGCGCAAAGGUCAUUUUGCUCACCCGUGCAACUCUCCCAUAUGCACGCGCACAUUCUGUUCUUCUUUCCCUUCUAUCUUUUUUUUUUUCAGUUCCCUUUCCCACUCUUCUUUCGAAACAACGCUCACUUGUGAGUUUCCAUCGGUGCUGCUCGCUCGUGAGCAUGUGCUGGACGCACAUU
rnacentral:misc_RNA from 1 species